rnacentral:lncRNA from 1 species
CUCGACAUAUCAUUUCUAAUUAACUCAUAAAACUAAUCAAGUCAUUCCAAUUUGAUACCAAUGCCAUAAAGGACUUUUACCAUUUUAUUAAUAUAAUCAUCAAAACACAUAAUAUCUUACUUUACAACAGAACUAUAUAACAUACCAAAAUGACUAUUAUAAUUCUUAUGUACAUACCACUUUCAUUUAAGGAAGAAACAUCACCGUAAUCUCUAUGCAGGAGUCGGGAUUGACAUGGAUGCUGAACCGAGACUCAGAACCCUUUUUCAACCUGCGCACGGAAAUAAUCGUACGCUGAGUAUUUUAUACUCAGUGGUAUUACCAUAAUUCAAAUUAUAAUAGCAAUAAAGAAUUAUAAUUACGAAGCAUAUAACUAUCCGAUUUCUUAAAUAUCAACUAAUUCAUAAACUUUCAUUAUUUAACAAUAACAAUAAAAUUUUUAACUAUUCCUCAAUCUCACUCACAUAUCACAUGUAACAAUUUCAAUCACUACAUAAACAUUUGAUUCAUGCCUUUUAUUUUCAAUAUCAAUUUUCAAUCUGCAAAUUUUAAAUUUUCUCAUAUUCAAUACCACAAUUGAUCAAAUUCAUUUGAUUUUCUCAUUUCAAUUAUUCACCCUAUUAACAAUCUGGACUUUGACGGAUACACGGAUUCCAACCCACACACACCAGUACGGCACAUUGUGCCCAAAACGGUACAUAGUACCUGAUCAGUAUACGACACAUAAGUGCCAGAAACGACACACGUGGUGCCUGAUACGACACAAAGUGCCUGAGAUACGACACAUAAAGUGCCUGAUGUACGACACAUAAAGUGCCUGAUCAGCAAAGCCGAUAAAUCCCGUACUCUUCCAAAUCCUAUGGCAGGCCAACUAUAUCCGACUUUGCCCGACUAGUUAAUAGGGUAUUUAAAUCAUUUUUCUAUUUCAAAAUCAAGAUCACUUUUCCACUUUCUAGUCAAUUAACAAUUUAAUACCAAUACAUAUUUCAAAUAAUCACAUAUAAUCAUAUUUCAAUUAAAUUCAAACCACUUUAUUUAAUUCAUAUUUUAAAUUCAUUUUUCAGCCAAAUUCAAAUCACUAAUACUUUUUAAUCGAUAUACAUUUCAAAUACUCACAUAUUUCCAUCAUUCAAUUUAAUUUGAUUCAAUUCAAGUCACUAUUAUCAUUCCAAUUGCUUACCUAAUUUUACUUACCAUGCAUUUUAAUUAAAAUAUAACAAUUAAUAAUAAAUAAAUUUUAAUUAUAGUAAUACAAACCCGAAUUUGCUCUAUUAUUCCUCAAUAACCUUCUCUUUUCCUUUGUGUGCCGAUGCCUCGAGUUCCUUGUUAGCUACGAAAAUAAUAAUAAUUUACACUAUUAAUUACAACAUUAAUUUAUAAUAAUAAAAAUAAUAAAAAUAAUAAAAUUUCUAUCUAAUUUAUACUUUAAUUCUAAUUUAAUCCUAACUAAAUUUAUUUACUUUUCUAAUUUAAUUCACACUCUAUUUCUAUUCAAAUUUAUUCUAAACUCAAGUUUAUCUACUAAUUUUUCAGCAUUUUUCACUAAUUUCGAAUUUUCCUCAAUUUAAUCCCUAAAAUUCAAAACUUGUAGCUUAGUUUACAAGUCAAUCCUUUAUUCAAUUCCAAAUAAAAUUUCUAUCAAAUAAAUUCUCAAUUCCAUCAUUUAUUCAACAUAAACCCUACACAAAAAAUCUAUUAACUUUCAAAUUUUCAACUUAAAUCCAAGAGUAUCUCACUCUAGGAUUCCAAAAACAUCAAAAUUAUGAGAAAAGGACUUGAUUUAGCUUACCUAUUAAAGAUCAAGCUUCAAAAUCUCAGUUUUCCCCCUUUCUUUUCUUUCCCUUUUUCUUCCCCUGUUUUCGUCUCUUUCUCUGUUUCUUUUCUGUUCUUCUCUUGUUUCUUUGUCUUUUUAUUUUACUUACUUUACUUU